CUACGGGGGGCUCCAGUGGGGAAUAUUGGACAAUGGGCGAAAGCCUGAUCCAGCAAUGCCGCGUGAGUGAUGAAGGCCUUAGGGUUGUAAAGCUCUUUUACCCGGGAUGAUAAUGACAGUACCGGGAGAAUAAGCUCCGGCUAACUCCGUGCCAGCAGCCGCGGUAAUACGGAGGGAGCUAGCGUUGUUCGGAAUUACUGGGCGUAAAGCGCACGUAGGCGGCUUUGUAAGUUAGAGGUGAAAGCCUGGAGCUCAACUCCAGAAUUGCCUUUAAGACUGCAUCGCUCGAAUCCAGGAGAGGUCAGUGGAAUUCCGAGUGUAGAGGUGAAAUUCGUAGAUAUUCGGAAGAACACCAGUGGCGAAGGCGGCUGACUGGACUGGUAUUGACGCUGAGGUGCGAAAGCGUGGGGAGCAAACAGGAUUAGAUACCCCGAUAGUC
rnacentral:rRNA from 1 species